rnacentral:tRNA from 1 species
GCCCCGAUGGCCGAGUGGUUAAGGCGUGAGGCGUUUGUCGGUCUCAUUGGGUAACCAGUCGCGGGUUCGAAUCCCGCUCGGCGCA